CCUACGGGAGGCAGCAGUGAGGAAUAUUGGUCAAUGGUCGGGAGACUGAACCAGCCAAGCCGCGUGAGGGAUGAAGGUACAGAGUAUCGUAAACCUCUUUUGUCAGGGAACAAAGGCGGGGACGUGUCCCCGGAUGAGUGUACCUGAACAAAAAGCAUCGGCUAACUCCGUGCCAGCAGCCGCGGUAAUACGGAGGAUGCGAGCGUUAUCCGGAUUUAUUGGGUUUAAAGGGUGCUCAGGCGGUCUGUAAAGUCAGCGGUAAAAGCCCGGGGCUCAACCCCGUCCCGCCGUUGAAACUGGCAGUCUCGAGUUGGAGAGAAGUAUGCGGAAGGCGCGGUGUAGCGGUGAAAUGCAUAGAUAUCGCGCAGAACUCCGAUUGCGAAGGCAGCAUGCCGGCUCCACACUGACGCUGAGGCACGAAAGCGUGGGUAUCGAACAGGAUUAGAUACCCUGGUAGUC
rnacentral:rRNA from 1 species